ensembl:lncRNA
UACUGACAGACUCCUUGGAGUAUGUAUAUAUAAAAUUAUAAACUUGUAUUCAUAUUCAUAUUCUUUUCUGUGAUGUACUAAAAUCCCAAAUGGCUUUUGCACCAUUUUUAAACCUAUUUUUUCCUUUGAUGUUGGUAUCAGAGUUGCUACAAAUGACUGCUGCUUUUGGGGUUAAAUAUUUUGUUACUGAAGUUACAACCAGAACACUAGAUUAUGGCUAAAAUUUUCAGAAUAAGUGGCACAGGUAAAUUUUGUUAGGCUUUAUUCAAAAUUCUCUCAUCAAAUUAUGCCAUUUUUUUUCCAGGAAGAAAAAUGGUUUGCUUUCCGUUGGUAGGUCAUAUAAUUUGUAUAGUGAAGAAAUUCUUUCAUCAAUGUUGUGAUCUUCAUUCGUUCUGCAGUUUUAAAUUUAUCAUAUAUGUAUUAUAGUAAAUAGAUGGUUUUGAGAUUCAAGGCUUCUAAGAGUUUGAUUUGCUCCAUUUUUCCCUUUAAUUCUUUCCUACUAUUAUGUCCUAGGUAUUGUACUUCCAAUUUUAACUUCAGAAUCAAGAUGUCAACAUGAACCAGGCUGCUGUUGAAGUACAUGUAUAUUAUAAAUUAUCUUAUUUGUGUUAUACUGUUUCAUGUUAUUAUCUUUUCUAAGAAAACAAAGUCCCUAUUAUUCCUAUUGCAAAGCACACAGGAAUUAAGAAAGUACAGUAAUUUUUAAAAAAAUUAUCCGGUAAAUGUAGUAUUCUUAACUUGUUCUAUAUUACUUAUACCUGUUGUCUAUAGAGCUUUAAUUUAUAGCUGUCAGUUUAACAUUGGCAUGUCUGGCAAAGAAAAUUAAACUUUAAGAGUUUUAUAAACUGUUUCUAGGUUGCUAAAGAAUUUAUUUUUCUACUAUAUAUGGUAUAGACAAAGCAUCAAAACUAUGUACAGGGAAAAGCCUGACUAUUUCUAUUGGAAGUAGGCUGAAAAGAGAAUUUUCGGAACUGUUCGUGUCUUUGGUUCAUUCUGUCAUAACUUUGCUAUUGUGAUAUGUGAAUCCUGGUUUAUUUAAGCUAUUCAUUUUUAUACUGUGUUAAUUUAACGUUCAUCUACAUUUAGUGCCAUUUUUGUUAUUGAAAUUAGCAUUUACCAUUUUCCACAUUAAUUACCCUUACACCUUUCCCAAAACUUACCUCCACUUUUCUAUGCAUUCUAUCAUUGAUUUGACACACUUCAUAGUGAGUCAUUUAAAUAUUCUACAUUUGGUUCAAUCAACCAGUAGAUUACAGUUUUUGAAAAUUAAAGUAGUUUAAAGCUCAGUCUGUUACACUGAAUUGAUUGUGCUUGUUUUUGCCAAGAGUUUAAAUGUGUUAUUAAAUAUUAGAAAAACAAUUCUAAGAAGAACACAAUAACAGUUAAAAUUUUUUGUGGUAAGUUACUGAAAGUUUUCACUGUUUAGGGACAUACAUGAGCCUUCUUAAAGGAUUUAAAAGAAUAGUAGAUUGUCUUAUAAUUGUGGGUAAACAUUAAGGCAUUAUAUUUUACAAUAUAAAUAAAAUUCCAUCUAUACACAUUGCCAUAUUUCACUUAAAGUCCAGUGCUUAGAGUUAUUACAGUAUUGGACUUACCAGUAUCUAGAUUAGCAAUAUAAAGAAGCAUAGUGGUAUUCUAUUUCAGACUUUCAAUAGAUUUUUUUUAGAAAUCAGAUUGUAUUCAACAAAUACUUACUAGGUAAUACACAAAUAAUUUCAGAACAAAAUUCCAGACACAAUAUAUCUCUCGUUGAAGUGGUAUUUUGAGUAGCCUUUUCCCCCUUAACAUUUACAGUGUAAAUACUGUAGGUAACAGCAAUCUUAACUUAGCCAAAAAGCAGCUUUUAUUUUCCAUUCUAUAUGUAAAUAAUAUAGAUCGCUGUUUUCUUUUUUUUUCUUUUUUGGAUUUUGUUUUGUUUGUUUUUGAGGUACUGGAAUCUAAUUUCUAAUAUCUUAAAAGGGAAUAAUUGGAAUAAAAACUUAGGCCUUAGCUUCCAUGGUGAUUUUUAGUUUUUUAUACAGUAAUAAUUGUGAUGCUAUUUGUCAACUGGAUAUAAAUAUAUAUAUAUAAUUCUAAAAAGUCAAAAGUGGUUUGUUUCUUUGUUUAUAAUUAAUGUAAUUUUGUGCUUCACCCAAAGGAUGCUGCAGUAAAUUAAGUAUCAGUGAAGCUUCUGAUGUACAAAGAGUGCUAUGAAUAAAACAUGAAGAAGCUGUGUAAUUUUAAGUUAUAGUUGCCUCUAUUCUUACCAUUUUGUUGGUAAAAGCUAAUUUUUUUCAAGUAAAAUAUGAAAAAUAAAUUUAUGUCAGUAUGAUGAAAAUUCUAUUAGGGAGAUGUACUGAGCUUUCCCUGUACCAUGAAAGGAGAUCCAAAAUUCACUCUGUAUAUAGAUGAAAAUUGGAUUUUUAAAAUAGGAAAAUGAGAUAAUGCACAGAUUUCUAAAAUUCAGAUGCUAUCUGAAUCUGAAUUGAACUGUGCCUCUAGACAUUCUUGGGUUACUAGGAAAUGCUCUGAAGCCUAUUCUAGUUAUAGCAGAGAUGUUAACCUCAAAGAAUAUAUAUUUGUUUUCUCUUUAUGGUUUGGAAAUACUAAGCCAAACUUUAUGGGUGUAUGCGUUCAGGUUCUUUGGAUCUGAUGAGGUCUGUUUAACUCGAAUCUUUAUCCUAAAUUUAAUUAUUUUAAGUACUUAGUAGGCUGAUCAAUUUGUUUUGUUUUGGUAUGUAUGGGAC